AGGCCCCGAGCCAUGUUUAUCGACAUAUCCUUCUGCUUUGGGAUCGAAAAGGAAAUGGAGCUUCCAGUCCCGAUUGAAGUCCACGCUAGAGUUUCUUAUUUGUUUUGGAUUGCACUCAGAAAUUCGGCAAUAGCAUUGCCCUAAUUGAUGUGGCUCCUUGCAUGGCCCACAUAAUAUAAUGUUAGCCCAUUAGCGCAACGUGUGCAAAGCAAAAGCGCCAAUGCUAGUCGUGCGUCUCAACCCUUAGUCGUGCCUCUUUGGAUAUGAAUCACUGGGCAUGGGCCAGGUGGUAUGUGCCACGAGCCAUGUGCUUCUCUUCAAUGAAUGUCUUUUACGCCGACGGGGCCACUAGCCAAGGGUAACUGGACAUGUGCAGCUCUCCAACAGACCACUUUGGCGCGAACUUGAAUCACUGGACAUAAGACAGUGGUUGUCCCAUACUCCUAUGCUGAGCCGGUUAGACUAAGAAAAUCUACACAAACGCAACUGGAUGAUGAAGCAAUUAGCGGCUACGCCUUGACAAAAACUCGUCUACGAGAUUCGGAGCAGGCACCUUUUAUUUGCAUUUCGUAUGUGAAAGAAGGGGUAAAAGAAAGGCGUAAUGAAGGGCGUAAACGUGUAAAAAAAAAGGGUCAAACGGUUUCCAGGGAUUAAGACUGUAACAUCUCUGAAGGAACCGAUGUGGAGCAGUUCAUCAGAGAUGUCGUUAGAGAUACCUUCGGCAAAAAAAAAAAAGGUAGCGUAGUUCCUACUCAAACUGAUCCAGCAACAACAGACAAGCCUGAGAGAUAAAUAUUUAGCGUGGAAAAGCUUUACUUGCAAAGAGAUGACGGAAAAGCCCCCGAUAACACGGCUGUAAGAGCCGAUGAAAUCCCCAUACAGCUAAAUAAACAUCUGGGUUCGAAGAGAAAGGUACGGUGACUAAUGCCAUAGAGCAACGAACGAAGAAAGUUCCUGUUGGGUGGCGUAAAAGCAUGGUGAACAUCCUACACAAAGCCGAAGGUGAUAAGGAUAAGAUAAAAUCGUACAUGCCGGUUAGAAUAUUGUGGGUGAAUAAUACAAUCGCCAUACAAGCUAUAAACUUAUUUUCUUCUAAAGGCGUGGGAAAUGACUCCACUCUGGUUCAGACCAGGCAUACGCUCGCAGGAUAACAUGUUUGUGCUACCUCGCUGAAUAUAUCUUUCAAUAGUUCAGAAAAGACCUUUAUGGAUAGAUUUCUAGACAAUAAAGGAGCUUAUGACAUCGUAGACCAGAAAUCUUUUAUGGGAUAUCCUUAAGCACGAGGCAUAGAUGACAACAUUGUGGAACUGCUGAGGGACAUAUACAGGAAUAGCCGAGUACAAAUUGUAUUGGAAGGCCGGUAGGGCACUGUAAAUUCACCUAGGAGUGACACAAGAAUUUUCUGUUAUUUGACAACAGUCAAACGGCAACGUUGACAACGUUUUGAUUUAUCUUACAUUCCUGAUGCACAAAAGGUGCCCGAGAAAGUCCCUGGACCGAUAUAUGUGGACGAUAUUGUGCUACUAGAGGACAAUGCAAGAGAGUUGCAGAGACUUGGUCAAUAUGUGUGGCAACGCAGCGACUGACCUAGGCCUUUUUCUAGCGCGAAGAAAUUGGCGAAUAGGAUCUUUAGUAAAGAGACGGAGUUAUUUCGUGGUAGCAGUGGCCUUAGUGAAAAAUAUAAAUGCCAGCGCGUACACAAGAACGGUGGAACGACAUACUCAAUCACCCCUUAAGACGAUAUGAAAAUAAAGAGGAAGCGGAAUACGGCAACAGGGAAGUGUAAAUGACCUUAUCACUACAGUAAUGAUGAAGUGCUUCAUGGAACCUGGGAAGGAGUAAUGGUGUCAGUGCUCAAAUCUGUGGCUAUCCCGUAUUUCGAUUUAUUAAGCGCCAUCUUAUGCGUUCUUCGCCUUAUUAUUCAUGAGCGAGCAGGCGCUGUUUUCGAACGACAUUGAAGCUAUGAAACGGAAGCGUUCUCUUCCAUGCUCGAAUAAAGAAACGUAAUUCAGCAUUCUAUUUUCAAUGACAUUGCUAGGUUGCGCUUACUGCUGGCGGCAGCACUAUUUACAUUCUUACAAAGUUAAACACAAGCAUGCUCGUGCUUAAACAUACCUGCACGGUAAGGACUGCAUGCGGUCACCGUUAAUUUUGAGUCCUGACUUUUGUAAUAUGGAUUGUCGCAGUGACAUGACAUGAAAGCCUGUAUAAGCGAAGAAUAUUUCUAUUUUAGAAAAUGAGUCCAUUUCAGUUCCGUAACGUGCAGAAAACCCCGAGCAAGAAAAUUUGGAAAUCGUGUGAAAUUAGCCCUAAGUUGCAAAAUAAACCCGUAAAAGUUAGUCAGGAAGAUUCGCUGCUUCAAAACUUGUUUUAGAGGUUGUAUGCAAACUGUAAUAGUUGCGCAUAAAAAGCUGACUAACCUGGCUAAAAAGAGACGUCUGAAGAACCGCAAUAUAUUGAAAACGAUUCCUUAAAAAUACUGCAUGUCUUCGUAAGCAUUCAUCAAGUGUGCAAAAGUUUGAAUCAACUUUCUUAAAUGUUUGCGAAAUACUGCGCUACCUGCCGUUCUACACUAGGAUCCACAGCAGAUGCACAUAAAUGAUAGAAUUCUAUAGUAUUAAGCAAAGAAUAUUUAAGGCGCCUACUAGUAUCUGCAAAUGGUCUAUUCAUUAUGUACAGAGCUUCCCCUCGAUACAUUGUCUGUCCUGCCAGGGAAAUUUCUGUAUCAAUACGCCUACAAGCAUAACUGCAAGGACAACCGGUAAGUAGGAUCGAAGCACACGUAAUCAAUUGUGACAGAGUAAAGAUCGAACAUUGAACAAGGCACCAGGCAGAGCCGAUAUGAAACCGCCACCCUGCAAACCUGUCAACCUGUCACCCUAACAUGGGAAAAUCAGGAGGUAGAGUGAAAGUUCUUUGUUCGUUAUAAAAUAAUAAGUAAUGUAUAGGCAAAGGAGCUCCGUGCGAAUAUGCACGGUGGCAGUGCCAUCCAAGGUAUAACCUGGGAUCCAUUCGAAAGCCCCAGAAGGCUAUGAAGGAAAUGAAUUCAGGUUCAUCAGAAAGAAAGUUUGGUGCCUGUGGAAAACAUUUGGUCAACAAAAAUUUUAUAUGUAUAGCGGCUUUUGUAGGCAUAACAUAAAUGUACUUGCAUUGCUGUGUGUUUUUUAUACUUCUAUGUGAUAUGGUGACAGCGUAGUUAUUUUUAUGUUUGUGUAGAACAGAAUGUGACACGUGCACUGUUAUCAACUCCGUGUUGUCGAGGAUUAGGGGCUUUGAAGCUGCUCCUGUGACUUUUUCCUAACAUUUCCCAUUUUAUGAAAAGAAUAAAGUAAGCGGGAAAUACAAAAUAGAGUAAGGCAGAACGGAAAAUUGAAGAGAAAAAAGCUUUUUUUUCUUUUUAAGGAAUGUUUUCCUUCUCAAGAAGCCUAGUAUAUUUACUGUUUAGAUUCAUGCGAAAUUGCCAUGGAUGCUGACUGGCCUGAAAGAUUGUUUCUCUAAAGCAUUUUUGCAAUAACACUUUGGUAAUGGUGUUGAAUGAAGUCAUGUUUUCUUUCUCUUCAUUCUAUAGGAAUAGUGCAGAAAGCAAAGGCAACACAACUCGCGGCGAAGCUGGUCGACAAGUGCGCUCUUCCCAUAGUUUCGAAAUACAAGUUUUCUACGAAGAUGAUCCAGCGGGUAUCGUACACUUAAAACCUAUUUUCCUAGGCAGCAUCUAAAAUGUGCGUCGUAUUUCGAUUCUGCUGGCACAAGUAUGCGCCAUUGAAGAAGUCUAAGGGUUUCGAUGUCUACCGUGAGGCGGUGUUAGAUUGUGUUGCCAAAAUGACAUCAUUAUUCACGGCUGUCCUAAACCCUGAAUGGAUAGAUGCGAAGAAUCUGGAAGAUCCGAGGGGCCUCUAUUACGAUGGUGUGAACUGUACGAGGAUCCACAACAUCUUUACCGACGAUGCGGCUAUCGGGCUCUCCGGAAUAAAAUGGGUGCGGGACACAUUGUUCUAGACAGGUUGCGUAAAUAAAAUUUAGAAUAGUCCUGUUUAUA